GCUGGUGUGGCUCAACGGCAGAGCGAUCGCCUUGUAAGCGAUGGGUUGCAGGUUCAACUCCUGUCAUCAGCU
rnacentral:tRNA from 1 species